GGGAACGAACCCGCCCAGGAGAGGCUUCGGACCCUCUUUAAUGUGGAAGCAGCAGGGCCCAGCCACCUGGCUAUAGGACUGAAGUCUUUCUCCAGCCCCUCCCUCUGUAGCCUGAACACCUUCUUGGCUGGCGCCUCAGGCCUCCCUCAUGCCUCAAGCACUGGAAACCUAGGCCUCCUCUGCAGAAGUGGCCAUCUUGGAACCAGCCAUGGAGCCCCCAGCAGGGCUAUGCCAUCCUUGGAAAGGAGUCUCGUAAGACUGGGUUUUGGCUAAGGUGAGAUUAAAUGCAGCCCUGGCUGUGCCUGGUGGGCUAGGAAGAGGGUGACUGGAGGUUGGGUGGCAGAGAUCUGCCGUUAGUAUAAACCUAGGGUCACGAUUCCGACUGGUACUCAGGCGCCCACCCAGUUCAAGUGCAUGGCUAAUUGGUGACUUUGGCUUUUUCUCCACUUGAGCCUUGGGCCUCCUCUCACGUAAGCCUCAAAUGCAGCAAAAAUAUUCAGUCAGUAACCCCACACACCCCCCCCCCUUCUGUUUUUGAAGCUAACUUCUGUUCUUGAGCUUCUGUUUCCUCACCCUUAGACCAUACCAUAGUUUGCCAACAACCCUGGGUGUGUGCUUGCCCCUAACAGUUUACAUGAUGUAUGUAAUCAAGAGGCUUUGCUUUAGUAACAUGUUUAAUAUACAAUGGCAGAAGUACUGAGAUGUUUCCAUGAGUGGCUGAAGCUCAGGAAAUCCUGACAGUGCUAGUCUUCUCGCCUUGUCC
rnacentral:lncRNA from 1 species